CAUUUCCAAACAAAAUACUUAAAACUGUCUUAAAAUUGAGUUCAGAAUUCGUGAUUUCGAACAAAACGGUAGCUUUUCUUCACUUAUUUACUCCUGCU